rnacentral:tRNA from 2 species
GGAGGAUUAGBCCCAGUUGGGAGAGGGACCAGCAUUGGAAAUGCUGUAUACGGGUUAAAGCCUGUAUCAAGGGUUCGAAUCCCUUACUCUCCG